rnacentral:rRNA from 1 species
CUUGGUCAUUUAGAGGAAGUAAAAGUCGUAACAAGGUUUCCGUAGGUGAACCUGCGGAAGGAUCAUUAUUGAAGUAAACCUGAUGGGUUGCUGCUGGUUCUCUCUCUAGGGAGCAUGUGCACACUUGUCAUCUUUAUAUCUCCACCUGUGCACCUUUUGUAGAUCUGGAUAUCUUUCUGAAUGCCUAGCAGCAUUUCAGGUUUGAGGAUUGGCUUUCUUUCCUUACAUUUUCAGGUCUAUGUUUCUUCAUAUACCCCAAUGUAUGUUAUAGAAUGUAAAAAGUGGGCCUUUGUGCCUAUAAACCUAUACAACUUUCAGCAACGGAUCUCUUGGCUCUCGCAUCGAUGAAGAACGCAGCGAAAUGCGAUAAGUAAUGUGAAUUGCAGAAUUCAGUGAAUCAUCGAAUCUUUGAACGCACCUUGCGCUCCUUGGUAUUCCGAGGAGCAUGCCUGUUUGAGUGUCAUUAAUAUAUCAACCUCACUUAGCUUUUGCUUGUUGAGUGUUGGAUGUGGGGGUAUUUUUGCUGGUCUCUUUUCUGAGGUCGGCUCCCCUGAAAUGCAUUAGCGGAACAAUUUGUUGACCGUUCAUUGGUGUGAUAAUUAUCUACGCUAUUGACGUGAAGCAGGUUCAGCUCCUAAUAGUCCAUUGACUUGGACAAUUUUUCAUUAAUGUGACCUCAAAUCAGGUAGGACUACCCGCUGAACUUAAGCAUAUCAAUAAGCGGA